AGCUUUGCACAGUGGCAGUAUCGUAGCCAAUGAGGUUUAUCCGAGGUGCGAUUAUUGCUAGA
rnacentral:snRNA from 1 species